GACGUAGGGGGCAAGCGUUGUUCGGAAUUAUUGGGCGUAAAGCGCUCGUAGGCGGGACUGGAAGUCCGUGUUGAAAGACCUCGGCUCAACUGAGGGACCGGCUCGGAUACUCUAGUUCUUGAGGCAAUCAGAGGGUGAUGGAAUUCCCGGUGUAGCGGUGAAAUGCGUAGAGAUCGGGAAGAACACCAACGGCGAAAGCACUCUGCUGGGCCGAAACUGACACUGAGAGACGAAAGCUAGGGGGAGCAAAUGGG
rnacentral:rRNA from 1 species